AAAACUCCCUCUAGGAAGGCUAUAUAAGUGUCAGCGCACCCGGAGCAUAGAGCCUGCUUGGCAAACGGUCCCUGCCUCAUUUACUGGCACUAAUCCUACCAAAACCAAUACCAUGUGGGUGUCUCGGGCAGAGAGAGGCAAGCGGAAGGCAUUGCCCUUAUAUGGCACAGCUAGGUAGAAUGAUACUUCCCUAUGCCCUUAUAUGGCAGGACCAGGAACCGACACUUGGAGGUGCCAUACAAGGGCAGGGGAAGGGACACACACCCCAGCUGUGCCAUGCAAGGGCAGGGUGAAGUAUUACACCAAGCCUGGGACAUACCAUAGGAAUGAGUGACGACCAGUUCCCCACUCACUCUGGCAGUCCUAGGGGGUGGGUCAGCCCCAGCUCUGAGCCCCAAAUGCUUCCUGAUUCAGCCCUCCUGAGGAGGAAGUGGUGGUUUGCAGCACAUUUGCUCAGCUUUGGGGCUGUUCCUUGGACAAACUCAGGCUGAGAGGCAGAGGGGGACACAGACGCUUUCACCUGUCCUGCUGCCCACGUGUGGGGUGAGGAGGCCCUGGCAGGGCAGGGGGAGAGCUAAUGGAAAGGAGCAGCCACAGCUGAUCAGAUGGCUCCUCCUGCACCCUUUCUCUCACUCGCCCAGAGGCAGGAUGAUGUCAACACUCAAGCCACCUGCCCAGCCUGAAUAUCCACCCAGGUACCUGCCGUGGGAUCAGGUGGGUGGGUGUGUUUGAGGAGGCAGCUUUGAGUCACAGUCAAUGAGCUCAUGCUGAGAGACUGGCCCCAGCUCUAAAGAGGCACUGCCAGACCUGGGCUGGGAACUUACAGGAGUGCAGACAAACAGGGAGAGGGAGACGGGCUCAGCUGAGAUCCAAGGCCAGGACCCUGCGGCCAGGUGCCCCGCAGUCCCACCCAGCAGCCCUCGGUGCCCAUGGGAGAGGAGAUGGCGCUCAGCGUGGGGAACGGCAGUGCUGGGAAACCCGCAGGGGACGGGACAGAGACUGCCGUGAUGAUUCAGGUGGGGCCCUCGCAGCCUGAGCCGCCCACCUGGAGACCACGUCCCCGGGCCCUCCGCAACCUGGCUAUAGGCAGCAUUGUCUGCGGCUGCUCCUGCCUCGGGGUGCUGGCCCUAAUCUAUGCUGUCAAGGCCAAUGAGAAGCGGAAGAAGAACUCUCCUGACGCGGAUCUCUGGGCCCGGAAGUCCUUCCGUUUCUCCCUUCUCAGCAUUGGAGUCUGGGUGGCUCUGCUCAUCCUGGUGCCACUGCUCAUGGGCCUCAUCUCCUACCUGAUUGCCAGGGCCGAGUGAUCUCCUGCUGCAUCCCCAUUGCAGCCAGGGCAAGCACCAUUUCCCGCAGCUGGCUUGGAAUCACCCCAGCCCUGCUGGUUCUGGAGCAGCUCCAGCUUCUCCGUGGCUUGGGACUGAGACUUCAGAGACCAGGGUGGGGUGGGACAGGAUCCACCGUGACUGUCUGUUCCCAGGAGGGAUGGUGAGAAGGGAACGUCAAGUUAAAACUUGUGGCUGGCGGAGCUAAGAACAAGAUUCCGUUACGAGAUGGAGAUGGUAAAACUGUCAAUGCUGCUGUCGAAAAGGCAGCAGUGUUCAAUAGUCUCUCAACGCAGGAUGAUGAACUCUUAUCACAAGGACGAUGAAGGCCCGGUAGUGCCCAGGAGGAUGUUAAACGUCUGCAGAAUGUGUCCCCCGCACGCCUCACGAAGUUGGCCGAGGAGUUCGCCAAUUUUUAAUACACGUUGGAAUGAAAUUCCAGAAGACAGGAAGAAUGCUAAUACUGUGCCCAGGAAGCAGGCAUGAACAGGCAAAUUCUAGGCUGGUUUUGCUUCACAUCAGUCCUGGGUAACAGAAGGGAAAAACAGAGAAGGGAUUCUAUCAACAAAGAUUGCAAAGAUGUGACUAAAGCCAGACAGCCUUGUUUUAUGGCAAAGAUGUUUUGUCAGAGCAAGCCUGAUUUAAUUCUUUAAUGAGGUGACAAGUUUGCUGUAAUAUACGUGGGGGUGUCGCAAGGCAGUUGUCUUUGACUGACAUGACAUUCUGAUUGAAAAUACACCAUCAGCUUUCAGGGGGUAGCUGUGUGAUUUGUUUCAGCAAAACAAUGAGGAGUCUUGUGGCACCUUAAAGAUGAACAGAUUUAUUUGGGCAUCAGCUUUUGUGGGUUGGAACCCACGUCACUUUAUCACAUGUGUCUGCCAAAGUGGGCUCCAGCCCACAAAAGCCCAGGCCCAAAUAAAUCUGUUUGUCUUUAAGGUGCUGCAGGACUCCUCGGUGGUGGUUUUGUUUUUUACAACAUCAAAAGAACACAGAUUAAAUGGGCUGGCUGACAUGAGACCAAGAAGCAGUCAGCAAUGUGGAAUCAUCCCUGAUUGUUUUUGGUGGGGUUCAACAGGGAUUGGUAUUGGGGCAAGACACUCUUCAACAUUUUCAUGAAUGAUCUGGAAGUGAAUAGGUGCGGAUAAAUUUGCAGAUGACACGCAAACUGGUAGAGAGGUGACUAACAACAAGGACGCAGCUAUUUCACAGAGCCACGUAGAUCGCCUGUGCAUGGGAGGCUUCCCUGAGGUACCCUCCGCUAAAGGCCCCUUGCAACUUCCUGCCCGUAGCAUGGGAGUCAUUUGCUUGCAUGUGUUGCCAGAGGUUGGUGGACUCUCCUCUCAGCCUCCACAGUCCCUCCGCAGGUAGGCAAUAGCUGCACACCAGCCCCCAAGUCUUCUGCAUGUCUCCUUGGAGUAUCCAGUCCCAGUUGCAUUGACUAUUCACAGACUUGCCACUCCCAGAGGAACGACACAUCUCAGCUCAGCCCAGGAUCACCGCACUGUUUAACGCACUGCACUUUGCUUUGUUUAUAGCAACUAGAAAAACAGCGAGUCAUGAAAUAGCAAGUAGAUACAAAUAUUGGAGACAGGUUACAGCUAAACCAAAAUCAUGAUAUGCCUUCUAGAGUCUAGAUUUAAAUAAUAGACCAUUCCCAGUCUUUGAAAUGUUAGGUCACCUAAGGGCUUUCUUCCAUUUAUAAACAGGCUGACUAUGAUCCUACGUUCAUCAGACAGCUUGUCCCCUAGGUGAAGGCUACUGUCGAUUUUUCUGCAUGCUUCUAGUGUACCAGACUCAUGCUUUGGUCUUAGUUAUAAGCAGGACACCCCAUCCUCUUGUGUGGGUCAGCAAGAUCCCAACAUCUACAGGAAGACUUUGCAAUCUUGAUUAGCUGCUGGCUCUGGAUACAAAUAGAUUUACGGUGUAAGACCCACAAUAAGCAUUGGGCAGCUAGGGAGAGAGAAGCAUCUCCAUCUUCAGUUGACCCGUCCUAACAAUUGAAGACCAUAAUGUUCAUACAGGAAUGUAACUUCUAGAGUGUUAUAAUGUAGCAAAGAUUAAGCUGAUUAGUGGCCUACUGGCCCCAUGGAGACCUCAUAUGCCCUUCGUCUGGUUAAUUAUUAUGCAUAUAGUCUCGCAUGACCUAUCAAUAAAAGUAUUGAUUUAUACCCCCUCCCCUCGGCUCAGUUAUUCACACAAGUGCAUGGCUAGGUUGGCUGGCUGACUGGGAAAUGUUUUAAGCUCUGCAGACCUUUAGCUCUGCAGGCAGGUA